UCUAGGUCAUCGGACUAUUUUUUUUUCAAUUUGCCUUCCGCCCACAUCAUUAAAAAUAUGUCAAAAUGUAUUUUUUGGAGCGGGCAUUUUUCCGUCGUAUCGAACACAAAUCGCCGACGUUUUUCACAUUUUAGUGCUUUGUAACCUAUAAUCGAUUAGCCGUACAUCGGUCAAUCGAAUAUACCCAGAAGAAAGAUGGCAGCCUCCAUGAAACUUGUUAUCGCGUGCAUAAAUCCCGGAGAAGUGGGGAGCAGGCGGCUUGCGGAAAACUAGUCAUUUACAUGUGUUAAUAUUGAUGUCCAGGCUCCUAAGGCUCGUGAUGUGGUCAGGUGUGCCGAAUGCCGUAAACCCAGUGUUGUGUACAGUCCAAGAUGCUCUACUUCGAAGGAUGAAAGAGGAGAAUCUGUACGUCUGUGGUGAUCCCAUGGCAGAUGAUUCAGGUCUGGUCACACUGAGGGCGAGUAACUGCACGUCAGAUGUUGAAAUUGCGUUUUACAGUUCAGGUUUCAGCAAAGUUGUGCCACCAGUAUGUUGUUAUUGUGGAACUGAAGAUGAACUAUUGGAUGACAAUCAUGUCUACAUUCAGGAUAUGUACACAAAAUUCUCCAAAGUGCGUCCACUAUGUAAAUUAUGCCAUGGAAAUGGCCGUGUUGCAAAAACUUGGGGAAAGAAAUUCAUUAAGAAGAGAAGGAUGUAAAAACAUUUAACUGCAGUGUAAUCAAUUACUUCACAUUCUUGAUUGUGUACAACAGUUGAAUUUAAUUUUGACAGAUUGUAUUGUAAUUGUCAUUGCUUAGUUUCUAGUCAUCUGUUGAUACAAUGUUUUACAUUUGUGAGCAUAUCAUGCUCUGUGGCAUUCAUUUUAAGUAUAAUGGUUCUAGUAAUGAGGCUCUAGUCAAUGAUUAAGUUUUGAUGUUGAACAGGAUUAUUAUGUUUAGGUUUAUUGAAAAUCUAGUCCCCUUAGUUUUAUAAAUGUUUGGUGUUAAGAGGUGAAACAUUUUACAAACUUGUCAAGUAUUAAAACAAUAGAUCAGUGAUACAUGUAUAUGUUUAGCUAAAAACAUUUUAGUGACUUAAAAAUGUGCAGCUCAUUCAAGUCCUAUUUUUUCCAGGAGAGUCUGGAUUUUUAUUAUCUCAAUUUUGGUGAUUUCAUUUACAUUUUGUGGAUUUUAAACUUAAAUACUGGAAUUUAAGAUGAUUUUCUUUCAAAGUUUGUCAUUAAUGUUCUAUAUUUUCCAGGAGUCUCUCGAUUUGUAUGAUUCCAAUUUUGGUGAUUUUAUUUAAAUCUUUUUGGUUUUAGACUAAAAUACUGGAAUUUCAGAUGAUUUUCUUUCAAAGAGUGUUUAUUGUUUAACUAAUCUCCUGGUGCCAUUUUCUCGAAACUACAUAAGUCUGUUAUAACAGGAUUAAGCUAUUCUGACUAUUUUCAUUCGUCUUUAUUUCGUGUAAUAUUUACGUCUUUAAAAGUUUUUAAACAGUUUAUGGAAGUUAUAUGUCUGAUAAUUAGGAAAAACUUUUAUUCAAUAAUUAAUAUUGCUGUACAAAAUAAGCUUCUUAAGCCUGUUAAGCUUAAGUUGUUUCGAGAAAUUGGGGUUAGAUUUUUAAAGGCAGAUUUCCUUGAAAUGCAUUUUAAAAAGCUUAGCAUGUAUGGUGAUUGGGCAAGUUUCAUUCACCUUUUUAAAGAAAAUGUGCGCAUAUUUGGGCUAUGUUUGGAGAAUUGGCAUAAAUUGAUGAUCAGAUUGUUUGAAUAAAAUGUUUUUAUUCUAGAAUGUCAAUUUUGUUACUUGCAAGUCAGCAUUUAUCAUACUGCAUUCAAUCAUAAAGAUGGAACGAUUAAAGAAAAUUGAUCAAACAAAAUGUACAUUGACUUGCUUUAAUAGUUGAACAUCAAUACUUACAUGAGCUAUACAAGCUAAGCAUUAGCUCGUUUGGAAGGACCUUUGGUGUAUUGGUCAAGUCUCUGACAUACAUUUCAUGAAUUUUUGCUUUCAUUUAAGCCAUGGGGCAGUUUUUAUUCAGGAAUAAAGUAAUGGCAUUGUAUA